GACCACUUGACCGGUGGAAGGGAAAUUUUGCCUAAUUACACUGAAUGGAUUUGGCAUGGAGAGAAGAUUAGGGCUUCUGUAUCUAAUAGAGUACCUAUAGUUGAAUGGCUGCAGAUAAUGAGAGAUUAAAGCGGACAAAAAGGGAUGGGGCGCCCUACACUCAAGCAGCUUUGGAGACGGUUGGUUCAAUACUGUAGGCUGAAAAUAAUGCACUUGCAAGGGCAAUGGGAAACGCGGAAUACUCGGGCCGUGUUCGUGGAACGGGGCUUGGGCCAUUGCUGGUUAGACCCACUUCUCGCUCAUCUACAUCAGCGUCAUGCUUGUCCCAGGACCCUACAUAUGUCUUUGAAAUGAGUUCAAUGAAGGCGCAGCUGCAUGAACUGCAAGAAGAGAAUAGAAUCAUUA